AGAGGUCGCUUCAAAGGAGUUUUUUACUCAGCCUUCUUCGAGAUGGCAUCAAAAGUCGUCAGGACUAUUUAGUGUGUGCUCGAAGAAGAGUCUUUCGAAUCCUUCUCUCCUUGCAGCCAUCCAAUCUAUUGUCCGACAAAACUGAUAAGCGGCUCAUACUUGAAGUCGUACAAUCUUCACUUCAGAAUUCAAUCAUUACCUAUGACUUGAUUCAACAUCGUGGCCUUAUCAUGUGGCUUGACAGCCUCUUGCUGACCGACACCGUUGCAGAUGAAGCUAGUCAGAUGGUGUCGGUGGUGACGACAAUGUGGGACACGCUCUACACUCACAUGCUGAAGAAGAGAGAGUCGAAAGAAAAGGACGACGAAGAAGCUAUUGCAAAACUUGAACAGGAGGUCGAAAUGAUGGAAGCCGAAGACGAAGAUACCGCCGACAAAACCACUAACAAACCCAA